AUUGGGGUGGCAGAGCAUGGUAUAUUGCAAAAGGCCUAAGCCCUUUAAACAGGGGUUCAAAUCCUCUCCCCAAUU
rnacentral:tRNA from 1 species